AACUAGCAAGUUCAAUUAUUUUUUUUGGCUAGUUACACAAUUAUUUUUUUGCUUGUGAUUCUAAUAAACCUCUAGAUCUAUGUAUGUGAGCUAGAGCUCUAUCCCAUUUAGCUUUUACACUAUGAGCUCUUCAUUGAUUGCAGCUUUAACUUAGCAUUACAUGACCUUUUUCUUAAAGCACAGUUGACAAAUGACAAACACUUUGCCUUAUGUCAAUUGGGGUGCAUGGUGGCUGAAAGGUCCCAGGUUCAAAUCUUGGUGAAAACUGGAUUUUUAAUUUCAGGAUUUCAAGGACACCUCUAAUCCACCAAACUCUGAUGGGUACCUGACUUCAGUUGAGGAAAGUAUAGGUGCGUGGUCAUUGUACUGGCCACAUGACAACCUGCUUGUUAACCAUCAGUCAAAGAAACAAAUGACCUUUAUACCAGUUGCCCCAUUGAUCGCA